CCUGGGGGGCAGCAGUGGGGAAUAUUGCACAAUGGGGGAAACCCUGAUGCAGCGACGCCGCGUGAAGGAAGAAGUAUUUCGGUAUGUAAACUUCUAUCAGCAGGGAAGAAAAUGACGGUACCUGACUAAGAAGCCCCGGCUAACUACGUGCCAGCAGCCGCGGUAAUACGUAGGGGGCAAGCGUUAUCCGGAUUUACUGGGUGUAAAGGGAGCGUAGGCGGCGAUGCAAGUCAGAAGUGAAAGCCCGGGGCUCAACUCCGGGACUGCUUUUGAAACUGUAUGGCUAGAUUGCAGGAGAGGGAAGUGGAAUUCCUAGUGUAGCGGUGAAAUGCGUAGAUAUUAGGAGGAACACCAGUGGCGAAGGCGGCUUGCUGGACUGUAAAUGACGCUGAGGCUCGAAAGCGUGGGGAGCAAACAGGAUUAGAUACCCUUGUAGUC
rnacentral:rRNA from 1 species